rnacentral:rRNA from 1 species
UACGUAGGCAGCGAGCGUUGUUCGGAAUUACUGGGCGUAAAGAGUGUGUAGGCGGUGCUCUAAGUUCGGUGUGAAAUCUCCUGGCUCAACUGGGAGGGUGCGCCGGAAACUGGAGUGCUUGAGCGUGGGAGAGGAAUGCGGAAUUCCAGGUGUAGCGGUGAAAUGCGUAGAUAUCAGGAGGAACACCGAUGGCGAAGGCGGCCAACUGGACGAAUACUGACGCUGAGACUCGAAAGCGUGGGGAGCAAACAGG